rnacentral:rRNA from 1 species
CAAGGUUAGUGGCGCACGGGUGAGUAACACGUAGCUAAUCUGCCCUAUGCUAAGGGACAACAGUUGGAAACGACUGCUAAUACCUUAUACUCCGCUAUCACCUAAGUGGUAUCGGGAAAGUUUUUCGGCAUAGGAUGAGGCUGCGGUCUAUCAGCUUGUUGGUGGGGUAAUGGCCUACCAAGGCUAUGACGGAUAGCUGGUCUGAGAGGAUGAUCAGCCACACUGGAACUGAGACACGGUCCAGACUCCUACGGGAGGCAGCAGUGAGGAAUUUUACACAAUGGGCGAAAGCCUGAUGUAGCAACGCCGCGUGGAGGAUGAAGGAUUUAGGUUCGUAAACUCCUUUUAUAGGGGAAGAAAAUUUGACGGUACCCUAUGAAUAAGCACCGGCUAACUCCGUGCCAGCAGCCGCGGUAAUACGGGGGGUGCAAGCGUUACUCGGAAUCACUGGGCGUAAAGGGAGCGUAGGCG